rnacentral:rRNA from 1 species
AGCAUAUCAAUAAGCGGAGGAAAAGAAACUAACAAGGAUUCCCUUAGUAACUGCGAGUGAAGAGGGAAAAGCUCAAAUUUAAAAUCUGGCAGUGUUUCACUGUCCGAGUUGUAACCUAGAGAAGUGUAACCUGCGCUGGACCGUGUAUAAGUCUCCUGGAAUGGAGCAUCACAGAGGGUGAGAAUCCCGUCUUUGACAUGGACCACCAGUGCAUUGUGGUUGUGCUCUCAACGAGUCGAGUUGUUUGGGAAUGCAGCUCUAAAUGGGUGGUAAAUUCCAUCUAAAGCUAAAUAUUGGCGAGAGACCGAUAGCGAACAAGUACCGUGAGGGAAAGAUGAAAAGAACUUUGGAAAGAGAGUUAAACAGUAUGUGAAAUUGUUGAAAGGGAAACGUUUGAAGUCAGUCGCGUUGGUUGGGGAUCAGCCUGACAUUGUUGGGUUUACUUCCUGGUCGACGGGCCAACAUCAGUUUUGACUGCCAGAAAAAGGCCAAAGGAAUGUGGCACCUUUGGGUGUGUUAUAGCCCUUGGUCGUAUAUGGUGGUUGGGACUGAGGAAAGCAGCGUGCCGAAAGGCCGGGUUUCGACCACGUUCACGCUGAGGAUGUUGGCAUAAUGGCUUUAAGCGACCCGUCUUGAAACACGGACCAAGGAGUCUAACAUGCAUGCGAGUGUUUGGGUGGAAAACCCUUACGCGUAAUGAAAGUGAAAGUUGAGAUCCCUGUCGCGGGGAGCAUCGACGCCCGGACCAGAACUUUUGGGACGGAUCUGCGGUAGAGCACGUAUGUUGGGACCCGAAAGAUGGUGAACUAUGCCUGAAUAGGGUGAAGCCAGAGGAAACUCUGGUGGAGGCUCGUAGCGAUUCUGACGUGCAAAUCGAUCGUCAAAUUUGGGUAUAGGGGCGAAAGACUAAUCGAACCAUCUAGUAGCUGGUUCCUGCC